rnacentral:tRNA from 1 species
GCGCCAGUAGCUCAGCAGGAUAGAGCAACAGCCUUCUAAGCUGUGGGUCAGAGGUUCGAAUCCUCUCUGGCGUACCA